rnacentral:misc_RNA from 1 species
AGUCUUACUCAUGGAAGAGGAAAAGUCAAAUUACAUUCUUUGCUCUUCAAAGGCACCCCGGCUGUCCGCCUAGAAACCAAAAUCAAAGCAAACAUACGUGAAAACAAAAAGUCUGAUAAGGCUCUUCCGCAUUUAGGCGCUGCUGCUUUCUGCUCGCUAUUGCUCGCAAUCGAGCCGAGCAUUGUUCACCACGAUUUGUAGACUUCUAUGGUGCUCAGUGGCGCACUGUGCUGGUGCAGCGAUCAUUAUCUUUAACCGGCACAACACGCGUCGCUCAGACAUCAAGUGUACAUAUAGAACGAAGACCCAUAAAGGCUCUGUAGACACAGCAAAAAGGAGCGGCACAGGGUUUUCUGCUUUUUGAUCCGUUUUCCGUGAUCUGGAAAACUAAAUAGAAAGUUGUAUUGGCAACCCUUGUUGCGAGGUUUUGCUUGCGUGAUGUCAUCUUCAGUGCAAGAUGCGAGGCCCUCCUCGAUGGAUGAUGCCUCUGCAAUGUGGGAUCAAAUUCAACGUAUGCCCUUUCAGCAGCUGCAGGAAACUAACGAGUUUGUGUACAUUAAAAAGGUGAUGUCGCUUGUGGCGCGCUAUGUCUUUCUGGAAUCUGACCCGAAGAUGGCCGACCCCCGAUACACGAUCAGUAUUGCAAAGCUGCUUAAAACCGUCUCCGCUAAGUGCCUCACCGAAUUCGGACGACUCAGCAAGACAGCAGAGGAAACAACGGCUGAGAUAGCGAACCUGCGGAGCGCUUUCAAAACACAACUUUCCUCAAAGGAGGAGGAAAUUGAGAAGCUCAGCGACCUAUUGCGCAAGGCUAGAGUAGAGGGGGCAUCUCAAAAUGCGGCAGCUGAGCCGUCGAGCUCAGAGGAGCUAGUUCGCUUGAAAACCGAGAAUGAUGAGCUUUCUCUUCAACUGCGAAACCUAACGCGGCGGAACGCGGAACUGAAGGAGGCCCUUGCAUCGCGCAGUGAUGACACGAGUGGCAUUAAAGAACACUAUGAAAAGGCGCAACUGGAGUACCGCCACCUUGCAGCAAGGUACAAGCGUCUUGCCGAUCGCUCUGCGAAAACAGAGGAUAUGCUGCAGGAACUGCGUCAGAAAGAGCACGGCAAGAAGCAAAAGGUAGACGACGAGCUGGAUCGACUGCGGCAAAAAGUUCAAUCUCUGCAGCAAGAAAACUACGCCCUCGUGCAGUCGCGCGAUCGAGCGGAAGAGCUAUGUGAAAAGCGGGAGGCAGAGGCGCUUCGUGACAUGACGGAGCUGCGGAGACUGACGAAGGACCUCCUCGACGAAGAGCGCGCAAAGAAUAAAUCUCUUCGAGACGAGUUUGUCACCGUCAAGCAGGAAUCUGAUGCACAUGUGGAGCAGCUGAUGCACCAGCACGAGGUUGACCUCGACGAAAAGGAGGAGGAGAUUGCACUACUCCGACGACAGCUGGAAAAGGCCACCAGCCAGCAAAAGUCUCAUUUUCACCGUGACUCUUCAAUCUCAGACGACUCGUCGUCGCACUCGUCGGUAAAAACCGGUACACCCGACAUCAGCGACAAGGAUGCAAAGAUGCGCGUGAUCCCCACAGAGGAGCAACGCAGGCUGGAGCGCGAGAACGACGAUUUGCACGCCGAGGUGGAGCAGCUCGAACUGCGCAUUGACGCACUUGAUGAAGAAAACCUUCGACUGACGCGUCUCGUCAAGAACUACGAAAGUGGCAACGAGGGCUUGUAUCGGCUAAGGCAAGAGUUGGCAGACCACACCCGAACUGUGGAGGUUCUCCAAGGCGAAAAUGCGCAGCUGCGGGAACGGCUAAACGGCAUGGAAGAUUCCAUUACGUUCAAUGCCGCGCUCCGCGAGCUGUGCAAGCGGGUCGGGGUGACGGAGGAGGAAAUCAACAGCCUGCGCCCUCAGAACGCAGCCGCGUACAGCGAAAUGGACACUUUGAAGGAGGAGGUGAGCCUGCUGAAGGAGGAGGUGGAGUGGCUGGAGCGGGAGCGGCGCCAUUGGAUGAAUAAGGUGCGACUGCAGCCCCUCAUGGACACCAAACUGCGCUUCGAGCUAGGCCUCUCCUCCGAGCAGCUCAAGCAGCUGGACAAGCUGGUGGACCAGAUGAAAGCCGGCACCGUUAUAGUCGAGGAAAACGAUGAGAGCUACAAGGAUAAAUAUUUCAAGGAGCUGCAGGCGCGGCGUCGCGAUGCUGAGCAGUUUAACGCGUUCGUGAAGGAUCGCAUAAAUGACGCCCUGAAGAACGCUUUUGUGGACGUGAGCGCCCCUGACACCGCCGCCGCGGUGUCGGCACUGCGAGAGCAUAUCGAUGUGAUCACCUCCUCGUCCACGGCCGAGGCUGGUGCGCAGGCUGAGGAAAAGAUCGAGCGACUGACUCGGCGGCUGGAGGAACUUGAGCAGUCCGAGAAGAUGCGCGUGGAAGAGAUUGCGCGUCUGCGGGAGCAGGUGGUGGCCGGCACGGCUGAGAAGGAGGUGAUUUGCCGUGAGCGCGAUCAGUACCGCGAGGCCAUUUUUGGCGCUGCCGGGAUAGGCGCGGCCCAGACCGAAGUCGCAGCCGGUGCACCUGCGCCGGCGCUCGGCGACUUUGGUGAGAGCCGCACAGGGGCUUUGUCAAACGCGAAGUGGCUGACUGUAGCGAAUACGCUGCGCGAGCAGCUACGCGUGAAGGAUACGCUGAUCGACUCUCUGAGUAAGGAGCUUACAGUGGCGAAGGAGAAGUUAGAGGCGAGGCAUGCUGCUGACGCAGAGCAGCACCGAAAGAUGGAGCUCGAGAAGAAAGCAGACGCUUCCUUGCAAGAUCAGAUCAAAGCACUGACAGAAUUGAACGAGGAGCUCACUGAGAGAUGCGGCGCGUUGUCGAAGACGAAUAAAGACCUCGAAGACAGCCUCGAGCGACUUGACCGAGGGACGACGAAGGAGCUGCUGCUCAAAGUGGUUCUGCUGCGUCGCCGCGAGGCGACUCUCCUUCAGCGACUGCGCCGAGCUCUCACUACACAAGAGGAGUCGAGUGCAGCUGUCAGACGAGUGGAGUCUCAGAUGAAGAAUACACUGGAGCGGCUUCGCGAGAUACUGGAGAAUGAUGGCCCCAUCGAGGACGCGGUGCUGCCUCGUUCGUCAGCGGGGUGCAGCAUGGAGAGCGAGAUGCUCAGCUUCCUCGACUACGCCGUCCGGCAUCUGCUUCAAGGCAGAAUGUAUCGAGAAGACAGCCGUUUUCUCCUUCACCUCAAGCAGGUUUAUCAAGGUAUGGAGGCCAACCAAGAGGUUUUGGAGCUGCGUCUCGACACGAAACGUCUUCGACACGAGCUGGCGGAGAAACAGGCGGAAAUGGAUGCACUGUCCGCCGAGGUGGCAGGCCUUCGCGCGGCGGCGACUGCCACCGAGGACGCAAGGGUGAACCCGAGCCCCGAAUACACGGCUGCGGCCGUUGCAAAGAGCGAGGCAGAGGCAGCCACGUACAAACAGAAGUACGCUCUCGCCGCAAAGCGGCUUGAGGCUCGCGAGAAGGAGGUGGCGCAGCUAGAAAACGAUAUCGACUCUGCACGUCAAGAAGUCAUCGAGGUGCGAGACCACAUCCGCAACAUCCUCAAUGAGGGCGCUGACACGAAGGUGACGCCUUGUGGGUCGCUGCCGCACGCGAAGGUGAGCCCGACGGAGCUGGCUCGGUUGGAGAAAGAAAUCGCGAGGCUGAAGACUGUCAACUUAGGGCUUCUGCACCACUCCAUGGAUCUGCAGUCGCAGGGUAAGUCAUUGGAAAUAGAGCUAGAGGCCAAACAGCAAGAGAUCACACUCUUGAAAAGUUCCGCAGAUUCGCAUCUGGUAACCACCUUUGUGAGCGCUGCGAUUCGCGAACACGCCGCACUACGCCGGCAGAGUGAGCUGGCCCUCAUCCAGGCGAAGCGACUCAAAAUGCAACUGGCUGCAACGGAGGCUAACUAUCACGUUGUUGCUAAUGAGGCGACGGUGUACAAGACGGGCGCAUAUCGCCUGUAUCGCAAGUACGUGGAGCAGGUCGUGUCCGUUGUGGAUUACUUGCGGUGCGUGCAGCGCGCCAGCAAAGGCUCUCUCUCGCCGCACCAGGCGGAGAUCAUGGAUCGCCGCCUUCGCAAAAUCGUCUCGGACCUCGGUGAGUGCUUUGGCCGGAGCAAGAUGCUGGCGAUGCAGCUCUCUGACGCGCAGAACACUGUCGCCACUCUGGAACAGCAGUUGUCUCUACUGCAUAUGGAGGACAGCCCAGCCAAACGGGAUGCGAUAGACGUGAGGCUACAGGAGGCGCGUAGCAGAGUACGCGAGCACGACCGCCUCAUGACGGAGUGCCAGGAGGAGAGGCAAUUCCUACAGGCGAAGCUGAUCCGCGCCGAGGCAAACAAUAAAGAUCUCAACGCCGAGGUGGCGCGGCUUGAGUUCGGGUACAUGACAGCAUCCCCCCUCGAUGCAGAGCUGCUGGCCACACUUUUGCAGCUAAAGGAGAGUGUCUUUGACAAGGCGGUGGCACCGUCUGUGACCCUCGAAUCAGCUCUAUCCACCGCGUCGAACAAGCUGGGCUCGGGCAGCGCAGACGACGGCGACCUCGCCAUUCGCGAGUACAAAAAUGCGGUGCUUCGGCAGACAGAGCUCGCACAACAGUGCGCCACGCUGAAGAGGCAGGUGGCCGAUGUGGACGCCGAGCGUCGCCGAAUCGAGCACAUGGCGGCGCAGCUGAGGGAGGAGGUACAGCAGGCGAGCGAGCAGGCUGCGUUCGCGCAGCGGCAGCUCGAAGAAGAGCGGCAAAAGGCGACGCAGCGCGAGGCACGACUGCUGCGGGCGCAUGAGACACAGUUGGAGGUGGCUCGCCGGGCCACAGAGCACAACGUUCACUGCUUGCAAGAGAUGAUCCAGAAGAAGGAGCAGCUAAUCUCCUCUCUGCAGGAGCAGCUCUCCGCCGAACGCAGGAAGGGCGUCGAGUACGGGCUCGGCGAAGCAGUGCGAAUGGAGCGGCUGCAUGAGCACAUGUUCCGUGAAAACACUGCCAUGGUGGAGCGCUUCAAGAGCGCUAUUGAAACUGUCGGGGACUCCGUGCGCCAUGCGGGUGAGAGCGCAGCUCUGCCUCUUUUCAUACCGGGCACCAGUAACGGCCUGCAGGAGCAGCUGCAGUUUCUUACUGCGGAGACAGUCCGCCUCCGUCACGAGUUGAAGGAGGCCCGCGCAAGUAGCAUUGUGCUAGAGUCGCAGCUGGAGCAGCAGGUGCAGCAGCAGCUGUCGACUCGCGCCCCGCACGCUGGAGCCCCGCCAGGCCACAACACCGAUGCUCUCAUGGGCAUCAUACGCAAUCAAACGGCAAUGGUGGAGAGCCUGCGACAGCGGGAGAUGCAGCUGACAGCAGAGCUCCAGCGUGAGAAGGAACAGCGGGCCUCUAUGGAGCGGCAACUGAGCGAUGUCCAGGCCCAACAUGCGGAACAGGGAGGCAUGUUACAGCUUCUGUCACAAGUGGCGUCCGCCGGUGGUGUGUCUGAUGCACCGCUGGUAGGCGAGCUGCGCGCCCAGAACGCGGCUCUUGAUCAGGAGCUGCGCAUGAUGCGGCAAAUGUUGGAGGAGGAGCGGGCGCACGCAAGGCGCUUCCAGGUGGAUGCUGCAGAGUGGAAGACACAUAUCGAUGCACUGCAGGCUGAGGUGUCAGCGCAGCAGGUGGAGACGGAGCGUGCACAGCACCUGGCGGCGCUUAACGAAGGGCUGCGGGUGGAUCUCAACACUGUGAAAGAGCAGAACGACAAGCUGAUGGUGGCCGCUACGAUCCUCAAGCAGAAGCUGAUGGACGAGGCGCACCGCAGCGGUGAGUCUGCCCGGCUGCAUCAGCAAGAGAUCGCACUGGCGCAGCGCAUGGGCACCAUCCAACAAGAGUCGGCGAGCCACAUGAAGGUGCUUGAUCACCGCAUUCGCGCCAUCCAGAAGGAGCUCAACGAGCGGGUGGAAAAGGAGAAGACGAUGCUGGAAAAGAACACGGAGUCGCAGCGACUUGUGUACCAGCUACACCAGCAGCUGUGUGCCAAGGAUCGUGAGUUUGCUUCUCUGCAAGAGCAGCUGCGGCAGUUCAGUAGUACCUCGCCGGUACGCUUGCAGCAACGCGCCAGUGCGGUUGCCUCGGGUCUGCAAAGUCGAGGCACGCAGGUAGUCGCGGCGAGAGAAGAGCCGUUGCUGCAGCGCGGGAAAGAGGACGCUGUGGCGGGAUCCAAGGCUGCUGCCGCUGGGCAUCAACGAGCUGCAUCUAUGACUGACGCCGCAGGCGUUGAGACACUUACGAGCGUUAUAGAUAACCUCAAGCUCGUGAUUGCAAAGUUGCAGAGCGAGAACGCCGAUCUCCGCUCGACACAAGUGCAGUCCGCCCGCUACGCGCGCCAAUCACGAGAGCUGCGCGAACUAAAGAAACGGGAGCAGAGUUUGCAGACUCAGCUCGAAGAUCUGUCCCGGCAGCUCGUGAGCUUGCGUGCUUCCUCCAGAGGCGACGGUGCCUCUUCUGUGUCGAACGCGGAGCUACAUCGUCGUCUCGCAACUGAGCAAGCUGCCGCGGAGCAGUGCGAGAUGGAACUCAACAACCUCCGUCUUCAACUUUCUAAUGCCGAUCGCCGGGUUGUCCGCCCACUGGAUCCGACUAGUGGCGGUGCACAAGCGACGGCAGCCACGCCUGCAGCUCACUCGACCGUGCCUCCGCCACUGCCAAAGUCUCGCUUUUCCCAUCACCAAGAGCGCCGUGGUGGAGAUAUGAGCUCGCUGGCUGAACUGCCGCAACGUCGCUUGAGUUCCACUCGAUUGAGCGACACCGCCUCCGCGACUGCCGACCACAGUGCAUCUCCGCAAUUCUGCCACCGUGGCGAACUGUAAUUAGGAUGCGCUGUUGUGGCGCCGAAAUGAGAGACGCUUGCCUACGCCAAAUAGAAGCUGGGGCGUGUAGAGCAACAGAGAGGCACAAGCACGUCCUUUUCGUAUACUAUACGUGCAAACGCUACAGACAAGACGGUGGCACAGCCCCACACGCUAGCACACGCCCCUCUUCCCUGCACACACGCACACACACACACACCAUUCACGCCCGGCGCAGAUUUGUCUUUUGUGUGUUGGUUUCAUUUUUUGUUCUUUCUGCUUGAAUGCAUCAGCUCCAUGUCUUGUGCAUGCCUUUCUGGCUGAAAUCGCACAAAGGCACUGCAAGCGUC